rnacentral:lncRNA from 1 species
ACCUUCCAAAAACCUCUCACUUGAUGCUUGUGACAGUCCUCCAAAUCCAGUUCGCAUUAAAUUUGAAACCCCCUUUUCCUUGUACCACAUUUCUGUACUAGCAGUUUUUUUUAAACUUCCACAUCAAUAUAACUAGAUGAAAAACUCAUCAAUUGCACCACAUACUCAUCCCUCCACCCCAACGACAAACCUUAAGCUCCCACAUCUAUUUCGUUAACAAAUCCACACUUAAGAAAAACACGUUCUAUCUUCAUUUUACUCAAUUUUGUCUCAAUUAGAAAUAAAAUCUGGGGCUACUCAUGCUUCACCUUGUUCCUGAGACGAUGGACUGCCACGAACGUUUCAACUUAAAAUUUUCAUUGCUUCCGACCGAAUUGCUAACCAGCAAUCACCGAUAUCUCAUUAGUCUCAUUCAAAGAACCAAUAAAACUAGAAUCAGUUGCUUUCCCUCCCAAGAUUCGCUGUCGCUUCUUCCCACCACAUUGCUAAAUAGGGCUAUCCUCAGAGCUAGAUAUCAUUUGCCUCUGUCUCUAAUCCCCUUGUUCAGUCACAACUCCCUGUUUACCCUCAUUACACCUAUCCACAUCCAUGCCAUGUAGAAUACCACCCCCUUGCAGACCAAUUGAAACUUCCUUCCUGAGCUACCUACUUCCCACCAAAACCUCUCUUCGCGACUAUUCCCUUAACGAUGCAUCCCAACCGAACUCAACAUCCUGAACUCCUAUUGUCAUUUUUAUCGGGCAAAAACCCUCACCAUGGCCUAACUUUCGGCACAAAGUAGCGUUAAUCUCUCAUACUGAAAAUAGGCAUAUCCCUUCCUAUUUAGUCCUAAAGCCAAUUUCUUCUUCUGCUUCAAAAAAUUCUCACAUCAAUUUUAACUCUAAUUUGUAUAUACCUCUUUAUCCCC